UACAGAGGUCCCAAGCGUUGUUCGGAUUCACUGGGCGUAAAGGGUGCGUAGGCGGUCGCGCAAGUUCGAUGUGAAAUCUCCAGGCUCAACCUGGAAAUGGCAUUGGAUACUGCCUUGCUAGAGUACUGGAGAGGGAACUGGAAUUUACGGUGUAGCAGUGAAAUGCGUAGAGAUCGUAAGGAAGGCCAGUGGCGAAGGCGAGUUCCUGGACAGUUACUGACGCUGAGGCACGAAGGCCAGGGGAGUAAACGGG
rnacentral:rRNA from 1 species